GCAGCGUCCUCCUCUUUCUCCUUCCACUGCUUGCCCCAGCGCAACCCAUUCGGCCAGUGUGUGCGUAUGUGUGGUGUGGUCAGAGGCGAGCGGGGAAUGGGAAGAGGAAUGGUGAGUGAGCGUGCGUGUGUGUGUGUGU
ensembl:ncRNA F53B3.12 ncRNA